AGCGAGUGUAUGUUUGUGUUGCUGCAGUUAAAAAGUUCGUAGUCGAGAUGAAUUUGAAUCGCAAAAUAUUCAAGAAGAUCUUGUAGUGUUUUCGAUUUGAAUUAAUUGUUGAGUUCAAUACUUUGGACGUUUGUUCGUUCAGAGAUCACUAUUGGAUUCUAUUUUACUAAGCUUAAAGAGGAGUGUUCAAAGCGAUGCAAAACGCAAUUGAACUUUUUUGCUUAGCAUAAUGAAAUACGUCAAAAUUGUAUUUUGUUGGUUUGGUAUGAUUUUGAAAUGACAAAUAGAAGCAAUUGGGGGCGUUGGUAUUUAGGAGUUAGCGGUGAAAUGCAAUUACCUCUUAAAGACUAACUGAAGCGAAGGCGUUCGUCUAGAGUGUUUUCAUUGA
rnacentral:rRNA from 1 species